rnacentral:rRNA from 1 species
CAGAGGGGGCAAGCGUUGUUCGGAAUUACUGGGCGUAAAGGGCGCGUAGGCGGCCUGCUAAGUCGAACGUGAAAUCCCUGGGCUCAACCCAGGAACUGCGUCCGAUACUGGUUGGCUUGAAUCCGGGAGAGGGAUGUGGAAUUCCAGGUGUAGCGGUGAAAUGCGUAGAUAUCUGGAGGAACACCGGUGGCGAAGGCGACAUCCUGGACCGGCAUUGACGCUGAGGCGCGAAAGCCAGGGGAGCAAACGGGAUUAGAUACCCCGGUAGUCCUGGCCCUAAACGAUGAAUGCUUGGUGUGGUGGGUAUCGAUCCCUACCGUGCCGAAGCUAACGCAUUAAGCAUUCCGCCUGGGGAGUACGGUCGCAAGGCUG